AGCGAACGCUGGCGGCAGGCUUAACACAUGCAAGUCGAGCGCCCCGCAAGGGGAGCGGCAGACGGGUGAGUAACACGUGGGAACGUACCCUUUGGUUCGGAACAACCCAGGGAAACUUGGGCUAAUACCGGAUAAGUCCGCGAGGAGAAAGAUUUAUCGCCGAAGGAUCGGCCCGCGUCUGAUUAGCUAGUUGGUGUGGUAACGGCGCACCAAGGCGACGAUCAGUAGCUGGUCUGAGUGGAUGAUCAGCCACACUGGGACUGAGACACGGCCCAGACUCCUACGGGAGGCAGCAGUGGGGAAUAUUGGACAAUGGGGGCAACCCUGAUCCAGCCAUGCCGCGUGAGUGAUGAAGGCCCUAGGGUUGUAAAGCUCUUUCGGUGGGGAAGAUAAUGACGGUACCCACAGAAGAAGCCCCGGCUAACUUCGUG
rnacentral:rRNA from 1 species